rnacentral:rRNA from 1 species
GACGAACGCUGGCGGCGUGCUUAACACAUGCAAGUCGAGCGGAAAGGCCACUUCGGUGGUACUCGAGCGGCGAACGGGUGAGUAACACGUGAGUAAUCUGCCCCUGGCUUUGGGAUAGCCACCGGAAACGGUGAUUAAUACCGGAUAUGACCAGCUUCCGCAUGGUGGUUGGUGGAAAGUUUUUCGGCCAGGGAUGUGCUCGCGGCCUAUCAGCUUGAUGGUGAGGUAAUGGCUCACCAUGGCUUCGACGGGUAGCCGGCCUGAGAGGGUGACCGGUCACACUGGGACUGAGACACGGCCCAGACUCCUACGGGAGGCAGCAGUGGGGAAUAUUGGACAAUGGGCGGAAGCCUGAUCCAGCAACGCCGCGUGAGGGAUGACGGCCUUCGGGUUGUAAACCUCUUUCGCCUGUGACGAAGCGAUCCUUUUGGGGAGUGACGGUAACAGGUAAAGAAGCACCGGCCAACUACGUGCCAGCAGCCGCCGUAACAC